rnacentral:rRNA from 1 species
CCUACGGGAGGCAGCAGUGAGGGAUAUUGCGCAAUGGGCGAAAGCCUGACGCAGCGACGCCGCGUGGGGGAAGAAGGCCUUCGGGUUGUAAACCCCUUCUCUCAGGGAAGAAGCUCUGACGGUACCUGAGGAAUAAGCCUCGGCAAACUACGUGCCAGCAGCCGCGGUAAUACGUAGGAGGCGAGCGUUAUCCGGAUUUACUGGGCGUAAAGAGGGCGCGGGCGGCCCGUCAAGUCCGGGUUGAAAUCUCCUGGCUCAACCGGGAGGGGUGCCCGGAUACUGGCGGGCUUGAGGGCAGCAGAGGGAGGUGGAAUUCCCGGUGUAGUGGUGAAAUACGCAGAUAUCGGGAGGAACACCAGUGGCGAAGGCGGCCUCCUGGGCUGUCCCUGACGCUGAGGCCGGAAAGCGUGGGGAGCGACCCGGAUUAGAUACCCGGGUAGU